rnacentral:rRNA from 1 species
CAUCCAGACUCCUACGGGAGGCAGCAGUGGGGAAUAUUGGGCAAUGGGCGCAAGCCUGACCCAGCAAUGCCGCGUGAAGGAAGAAGGCCUUCGGGUUGUAAACUUCUUUUAUCAGGGACGAAGGAUGUGACGGUACCUCAUGAAUAAGCCACGGCUAACUACGUGCCAGCAGCCGCGGUAAUACGUAGGUGGCAAGCGUUAUCCGGAUUUACUGGGUGUAAAGGGCGUGUAGGCGGGACUGCAAGUCAGAUGUGAAAAUUAUGGGCUCAACCCAUAACCUGCAUUUGAAACUGUAGUUCUUGAGUGAUGGAGAGGCAGGCGGAAUUCCGUGUGUAGCGGUGAAAUGCGUAGAUAUACGGAGGAACACCAGUGGCGAAGGCGGCCUGCUGGACAUUAACUGACGCUGAGGCGCGAAAGCGUGGGGAGCAAACAGGAUUAGAUACCCUAGUA